GGUGAUUAUCUCCAUCUUACGAGGCAGCAUUGGAUAUUAUCUCUCUCUCUAAUACUGCCUGGUAAUGAUGAUGAUAG
ensembl:miRNA